ACACAUGCAAGUCGAGGGGCAUCAGUUUGGUUUGCUUGCAAACCAAAGCUGGCGACCGGCGCACGGGUGAGUAACACGUAUCCAACCUGCCUCAUACUCGGGGAUAGCCUUUCGAAAGAAAGAUUAAUAUCCGAUAGCAUAUAUUUCCCGCAUGGGUUUUAUAUUAAAGAAAUUCGGUAUGAGAUGGGGAUGCGUUCCAUUAGUUUGUUGGGGGGGUAACGGCCCACCAAGACUACGAUGGAUAGGGGUUCUGAGAGGAAGGUCCCCCACAUUGGAACUGAGACACGGUCCAAACUCCUACGGGAGGCAGCAGUGAGGAAUAUUGGUCAAUGGACGCGAGUCUGAACCAGCCAAGUAGCGUGAAGGAUGACUGCCCUAUGGGUUGUAAACUUCUUUUAUAUGGGAAUAAAGUUGUCCACGUGUGGAUUUUUGUAUGUACCAUAUGAAUAAGGAUCGGCUAACUCCGUGCCAGCAGCCGCGGUAAUACGGAGGAUCCGAGCGUUAUCCGGAUUUAUUGGGUUUAAAGGGAGCGUAGGCGGAUUGUUAAGUCAGUUGUGAAAGUUUGCGGCUCAACCGUAAAAUUGCAGUUGAUACUGGCAGUCUUGAGUGCAGUAGAGGUGGGCGGAAUUCGUGGUGUAGCGGUGAAAUGCUUAGAUAUCACGAAGAACUCCGAUUGCGAAGGCAGCUCACUGGAGUGUAACUGACGCUGAUGCUCGAAAGUGUGGGUAUCAAACAGGAUUAGAUACCCUGGUAGUCCACACAGUAAACGAUGAAUACUCGCUGUUUGCGAUAUACAGUAAGCGGCCA
rnacentral:rRNA from 1 species